CUUCGCUAAGCACCGAGGCGAAGAAAGUAAUUGGGAAUCAACGACUUAGCGCUCUAAAGCAUGACUCGUUUCCCGCUCCAAA
rnacentral:sRNA from 22 species